rnacentral:rRNA from 1 species
GACGAACGCUGGCGGCGUGCUUAACACAUGCAAGUCGAACGGAAAAGCCCUGCUUUUGUCGGGUGCUCGAGUGGCGAACGGGUGAGUAACACGUGAGCAACCUGCCCUUGACUUUGGGAUAACUUCGGGAAACCGGGGCUAAUACCGGAUAGUAGCUCCUGCUGCAUGGUCGGGGUUGGAAAGUUUCGGUGGUUUGAGAUGGACUCGCGGCUCAUCAGCUCGUUGGCUGGGUAGUGGCGUACCAAGGCGUCGACGGGUAGCCGGCAUGCGAGGGUGACCGGCCACAUGGGGACUGAGGUACGGACCAGAAUGGUACGGUAGGCAGCAGUGGGGAGUAUUGCACAGUAGGCGGAAGCCUGAGACGGCAACGCCGCGUGCGUGAUGACGGCCUUCGAGGUGUGAACCGCUAUCGGCUGAGACGAAGCGUGCGUGACGGUAAUGGGUAAGAAAGCCACGGCUAACUACGUG